rnacentral:rRNA from 1 species
UACGGAGGGUGCAAGCGUUGUCCGGAUUUAUUGGGUUUAAAGGGUGCGUAGGCGGAUGAAUAAGUCCGAGGUGAAAGACGGUCGCUUAACGAUCGCAGUGCCUUGGAUACUGUUUAUCUUGAGUACAGAUGAGGCUGAUGGAAUGGGUGGUGUAGCGGUGAAAUGCAUAGAUACCAUCCAGAACACCGAUUGCGAAGGCAGCUCGCUGGAACGUAACUGACGCUGAGACGCGAAAAGCGUGGGGAGCAAACAGG